rnacentral:rRNA from 1 species
UACAGGGGGGGGCAAGCGUUGUUCGGAAUUACUGGGCGUAAAGGGUCAGUAGGCGGCCAACUAAGUCCGACGUGAAAUCCCAAAGCUUAACUUUGGAACUGCGUCGGAUACUGGAUGGCUUGAAUUCGGGAGAGGGAUGCAGAAUUCCAGGUGUAGCGGUGAAAUGCGUAGAUAUCUGGAGGAAUACCGGUGGCGAAGGCGGCAUCCUGGACCGAGAUUGACGCUGAGGUGCGAAAGCGUGGGGAGCAAACAGG